UACCACACGACACAUUUUUUUUCCCUUAAAGAUCAUUUGGUAUUAAAAUAAUAGUUACCAAUUACUAGGUAUAUUAAACUUCAUUUUAAGUCACAAAUUCCUGUUGGCCACACUCACGUUACUUGGUGCAAGUCUUUUCACAAACUUAGUCGUUCCCGUUUCCUUUCAGAACAUUUUCAUCAUGCUGAAAAAACAACAGGAGCCCUGUGAAAGAAAUAAAUCGGCAUGUACUUUCCUCAAAAGACAAUCCUAUUCACUGCAGAAGACACUGGAGCCUUCCAUAGUUGAAGCUGGGGGCCUUUUCCAGGAAGCAGUCUUUCACCUAUGUUUUUGCUCUACCUUUCACUCUUGAAAUCAACUUUGGUACAAGCAUGAUCUUCGGCUAUCAGACCCUAUCGUACAUCUGUAAAAUUUGAAAAUAAAGAGGUGUCUAAAAUAUGAACAUA